UUACAGUUUUUUUUUCUUGUAUUUUUGAUCAAAUAAAUAGCAGCCUUGAUGAGCAUAAGAGACUUCUUUAAAAAACAUUACAAGUCUUACUGAUCCCAAACGGCAGUGUGCGUAAUAUAACAAACUCAAUAAAUAAAUAAAUAAUUAAAUCAAUAUAUAAUAAAUAUAUAAAUGUAACUAGUUUACCCAGCUAAUAAUGUCCCAGAAUGUUCUAAGGACUGUCAGAUAACCAAACCAUACAAUAACAUUAGGAGAAUAAUAACAAUAUGUUUUCUUGGUUAUCAUCCAUUAAUAAAUUGAGCUUUUUUAAAGCAUAAAUAUCGAGAUACUGAAACCAGCAGUUUUUAUUCAGGUUUGAUUAAACUAAAAGUCUCAUGCUGAGCACAAGUGCAACGUCUUGUCAGUCAUCAGUCUGUGGUAUUUAUUAUAGAACACUCAUUGUUCUUGAGCUGAGUCCAUCACCCUUCAGGCUUUCUAUAAAGAAUAGAGCAGCUAUGGCAACAGCCAUUCCCAAACAUGCCACUGUGCUGCAAGAAUGUAAAAAAUCAGCAGCUACUAAACUGCUCAGAAAUCAAAUCCACGGGAAGAAAAUGUGCCAUGCAUGAGUCUCACCAGUAACUCAAAUAUGACUACUCAUAAGAAGACAAUCAGCAAGCAACAGAGACCAGCUCUAAGAAUCCCAUUUGGUCACCGACGUAGAACAGAUAUAUUGCUCCUCAAAAAUGGUCAAAUGACGUUGAAACACCCACAAGCCUUUCCAAUGCUGGGAGAACUUCCUUCUUUGGCAGGCUUACUGCUGCACCCUGGUAAGCGGGAAAAGAUGGUAACCACAACAGAAACUGAAUUUGGACCCAAAACCUGCCCAAAAGUAGAGCCAAAGAAGAUCCUACAGUGCAGCCUAACUCUAGAUGGUGACAGGAGUUUCAACACAACAAAUAGAGAGGAUUACCCUUAUUACAAACCAGAUGGCACUCCAAUCGUGUGGCAGGGAAAAGCCCCCGCAAGAGAAAACAGGACUGGCCAAGCACAGAGAGGUUCUCUUUACCAGCAGGACUUCCCUGCUCCAAAGAAAAUCUACAUCAGGAGAAAUCAGGUUGUACCUCAUCCUGACAACCUGGCGAUCAACACUUCAAUGAGAGCUGAAUACAAAACAGUGCAGCAAGAGGCUUUCCCAGGCUGGGAUGUCUCUGUGCACACACGCCCAACGCCUGUCCGACUCAAAAGAACAGCUGCAGAUGACUGA
rnacentral:lncRNA from 1 species